rnacentral:misc_RNA from 1 species
CAACCCUCAAGCCCCUCCGGGAGGCUUGGUGUUGGGGAUCGGCCCGCCCCCGCGGCGCCGGCCCCGAAAUACAGUGGCGGUCUCGCUGCAGCCUCCCUUGCGUAGUAGCACAUCUCGCACUGGAGAGUGGCGGGACCACGCCGUGAAACCCCCCAAUUCUGAACG